UUGUCUCAAAGAUUAAGCCAUGCAUGUCUCAGUACAAGCCGAAUUAAGGUGAAACCGCGAAAGGCUCAUUAAAUCAGUUAUGGUUCCUUAGAUCGUACCCACAUUUACUUGGAUAACUGUGGUAAUUCUAGAGCUAAUACAUGCAAACAGAGCUCCAACCGGAAACGGAAGGAGCGCUUUUAUUAGAUCAAAACCAAUCGGUGGCGGUUUCCGUCAUCGUACAACUUGGUGACUCUGAAUAACUUUAAGCUGAUCGCACGGUCUCGCACCGGCGACGCAUCUUUCAAAUGUCUGCCUUAUCAACUGUCGAUGGUAGGUUCUGCGCCUACCAUGGUUGUAACGGGUAACGGGGAAUCAGGGUUCGAUUCCGGAGAGGGAGCCUGAGAAACGGCUACCACAUCCAAGGAAGGCAGCAGGCGCGCAAAUUACCCACUCCCGGCACGGGGAGGUAGUGACGAAAAAUAACGAUACGGGACUCAUCCGAGGCCCCGUAAUCGGAAUGAGUACACUCUAAACCCUUUAACGAGGAUCAAUUGGAGGGCAAGUCUGGUGCCAGCAGCCGCGGUAAUUCCAGCUCCAAUAGCGUAUAUUAAAGUUGUUGCGGUUAAAAAGCUCGUAGUCGAAUCUGUGUCCCGCGCCGCCGGUUCAUCGUUCGCGGUGUUAACUGGCGUGUCGCGGGACGUCCUGCCGGUGGGCUUAGCUCGCGAGGGCGGCCCAACUCAAUCCCGCCGCGGUGCUCUUCAUUGAGUGUCGAGGUGGGCCGGCACGUUUACUUUGAACAAAUUAGAGUGCUUAAAGCAGGCUAAAACUUCGCCUGAAUACUGUGUGCAUGGAAUAAUGGAAUAGGACCUCGGUUCUAUUUUGUUGGUUUUCGGAACCCCGAGGUAAUGAUUAAUAGGAACGGAUGGGGGCAUUCGUAUUGCGACGUUAGAGGUGAAAUUCUUGGAUCGUCGCAAGACGGACAGAAGCGAAAGCAUUUGCCAAAAACGCUUUCAUUGAUCAAGAACGAAAGUUAGAGGUUCGAAGGCGAUCAGAUACCGCCCUAGUUCUAACCAUAAACGAUGCCAGCUAGCGAUCCGCCGACGUUCCUCCGAUGACUCGGCGGGCAGCUUCCGGGAAACCAAAGCUUUUGGGUUCCGGGGGAAGUAUGGUUGCAAAGCUGAAACUUAAAGGAAUUGACGGAAGGGCACCACCAGGAGUGGAGCCUGCGGCUUAAUU
rnacentral:rRNA from 3 species